rnacentral:rRNA from 1 species
UCGGGAAUUUUGGGCAAUGGGCGAAAGCCUGACCCAGCAACGCCGCGUGAAGGAUGAAGUAUUUCGGUAUGUAAACUUCGAAAGAAUAGGAAGAAUAAAUGACGGUACUAUUUAUAAGGUCCGGCUAACUACGUGCCAGCAGCCGCGGUAAUACGUAGGGACCAAGCGUUGUUCGGAUUUACUGGGCGUAAAGGGCGCGUAGGCGGCAAUUCAAGUCAUCUGUGAAAUCUCCGGGCUUAACUCGGAACGGUCAGAUGAUACUGCUUUGCUAGAGUGCAGAAGGGGCAAUCGGAAUUCUUGGUGUAGCGGUGAAAUGCGUAGAUAUCAAGAGGAACACCUGAGGUGAAGACGGGUUGCUGGGCUGACACUGACGCUGAGGCGCGAAAGCCAGGGGAGCAAACGGGAUUAGAUACCCGUGUAAUCCCUGAGCGGGCUGGCAAGGCGCAU